GCGGAGGAAAAGAAACUAACAAGGAUUCCCCUAGUAACUGCGAGUGAAGCGGGAAAAGCUCAAAUUUAAAAUCUGGUAGUCUUUGGCUGCCCGAGUUGUAAUCUAGAGAAGUGUUACCCGUGCUGGACCGUGUACAAGUCUCCUGGAAUGGAGCGUCAUAGAGGGUGAGAAUCCCGUCUUUGACACGGACUCCCAGUGCAUUGUGGUAUGCUCUCAACGAGUCGAGUUGUUUGGGAAUGCAGCUCAAAAUGGGUGGUGAAUUCCAUCUAAAGCUAAAUAUUGGCGAGAGACCGAUAGCGAACAAGUACCGUGAGGGAAAGAUGAAAAGAACUUUGGAAAGAGAGUUAAACAGUACGUGAAAUUGUUGAAAGGGAAACGCUUGAAGUCAGUCGCGUUGUCCAGAAAUCAACCUUGGUUCUCCUGGGUGUACUUUCUGGUUUAACGGGUCAGCAUCAGUUUCGAUCGAUGGAAAAAGUCCAAGGGAAUGUGGCAUCUUCGGAUGUGUUAUAGCCCUCGGUCGUAUGCAUCGGUUGGGACUGAGGAAUUCAGCACGCCGCAAGGCCGGGGUUCGCCCACGUACGUGCUUAGGAUGCUGGCAUAAUGGCUUUAAUCGACCCGUCUUGAAACACGGACC
rnacentral:rRNA from 1 species